rnacentral:rRNA from 1 species
UACGAAGGGGGCUAGCGUUGUUCGGAAUUACUGGGCGUAAAGCGUGCGCAGGCGGCUUCUCAAGUCAGGGGUGAAAGCCCAGAGCUCAACUCUGGAAUUGCCUUUGAGACUGAGUGGCUUGAGUACGAGAGAGGUGAGUGGAAUUCCCAGUGUAGAGGUGAAAUUCGUAGAUAUUCGGAAGAACACCAGUGGCGAAGGCGGCUCACUGGACCGGUAUUGACGCUGAGGUGCGAAAGCGUGGGGAGCAAACAGG